AUUGAACGCUGGCGGCAUGCCUUACACAUGCAAGUCGAACGGCAGCACGGGAGCAAUCCUGGUGGCGAGUGGCGAACGGGUGAGUAAUAUAUCGGAACGUGCCCAGUAGUGGGGGAUAACUGCUCGAAAGAGCAGCUAAUACCGCAUACGACCUGAGGGUGAAAGGGGGGGAUCGCAAGACCUCUCGCUAUUGGAGCGGCCGAUAUCAGAUUAGCUAGUUGGUGGGGUAAAGGCCUACCAAGGCAACGAUCUGUAGUGGGUCUGAGAGGACGACCGGCAACACUGGAACUGAGACACGGCCCAGACUCCUACGGGAGGCAGCAGUGGGGAAUUUUGGACAAUGGGCGAAAGCCUGAUCCAGCAAUGCCGCGUGCAGGAAGAAGGCCUUCGGGUUGUAAACUGCUUUUGUCAGGGAAGAAAUCCUCUAGGUUAAUACCCUUGGGGGGAUGACGGUACCUGAAGAAUAAGCACCGGCUAACUACGUGCCAGCAGCCGCCGUAACAC
rnacentral:rRNA from 1 species